rnacentral:rRNA from 1 species
CCUACGGGAGGCAGCAGUGAGGAAUAUUGGUCAAUGGCCGAGAGGCUGAACCAGCCAAGUCGCGUGAGGGAAGACGGCCCUACGGGUUGUAAACCUCUUUUGUCGGAGAACAAAACCCGGGACGUGUCCCGGACUGCGUGUAUCCGAAGAAAAAGCAUCGGCUAACUCCGUGCCAGCAGCCGCGGUAAUACGGAGGAUGCGAGCGUUAUCCGGAUUUAUUGGGUUUAAAGGGUGCGUAGGCGGUCGGAUAAGUUAGAGGUGAAAUCCCGAGGCUCAACUUCGGAAUUGCCUCUGAUACUGUUCGGCUAGAGAGUAGUUGCGGUAGGCGGAAUGUAUGGUGUAGCGGUGAAAUGCUUAGAGAUCAUACAGAACACCGAUUGCGAAGGCAGCUUACCAAGCUACUUCUGACGUUGAGGCACGAAAGCGUGGGGAGCAAACAGGAUUAGAUACCCCAGUAGUC